AGAAAAAUGCUACGUUUUAACUGACAUAUGUACCUGCUUUCCGAGAGGAGAAUUGUGGUAAUUUGAACAAAGGGAUAAACUUUGUGUCUGAUAAUGUUAGUUUGGUUAUUCUUUUGAAGAAUAUUUUGUUCCAUAAAGUUCACAUUGUUACAGAAAAGUCUUUAUUAUAUAAAACUGCUGAAAGAUACUAUACCUAGAUUUCACUGCAAAACAAGAUAUAUAUUGACUUUAAAAUGCAUGAGUUGGGUAUAUAGUUCUUCAGCUGUAAUAAUAUGUUGUUAUGGAGUUGUAGAUUGAACACAUUAUUAAGUCUUUCUCUGAUUUUGAUGCAUAAUUUAUUUUAUAGAUUUGUUGUGUAUUAUGUAUUUGUAUGUCAUUCCAGAAUGCUUUAGAAUUGUGAAAUGGAAUCGACUUGGAAAUAGUUGAAGAUAGUAAUGAAACAAUUCACUGCUCUUUCUACCUCCAUUUAGUGUCUUUGAAAAUUGCAUGUGUCAAUGGUAUAUGCAUGUAUAUGAAUGAAAUCAAAUUACUUCUUUUUUUUUUACUCAAGGUUGUAAGUGCUUCUCAAGAACUGAUUUGCAACACAAUGUGAUGGCUUUAUAAAGCAAUAAUUUGUGUCAUGUAUAUAUGUAAAACUUGGUUUUUUUUAUUCAAACAUUCCAAUGCUGAUUUACAUGUAUUUUAUUUAUUGCCAAUAUCAUGUGAAUGUACGUAUAUGUUACUGAGCUUUUAAAACAAAUUUUCUAUCUUGUCUCUAUAUAGAUUAUACGUUUUUAAAAAUAUUUGAAAAUUAUGCUUAAAAUCUCAAGAGGACAAAUAUUCAUUAAGAUUACCAACAAAUUUCACUUUGGCAUGUUCUUAGAGUUAUCUUUCCUUGCUCUGUAUUUAUUAUUAAGAUGUUUUCUUAUUCAAGGCAGCAUUAAAAAGUAUUUGUGGAGAUGGUUAUUGUAGGAAUAAUCAUCCAAAUUCAUUCUGAUAAUGUUCACAUUUUCUCACAUUAUUUGUAUUACCAAAGAACGUGCAAUAAACUUACUAUAACGUUU
rnacentral:misc_RNA from 1 species